GCUUCCUUGGGAGAAAUUCCCCGGACGCAACGGCAGAGAAUGCCAUCCCGGGAACGGGAGCUGGUGGAGGCGACACUCUGGCGACGACGGUCUCGAUCUGUUGCUGAGACAAGAGCAUGAGAGCUGUCCCUUCGCCGCCGUCACAGCAAAGUUAUGCUUGGUUACGGACCUGCGUCCGCAACUCAACGGGGAUUACUCUGA
rnacentral:RNase_MRP_RNA from 1 species